rnacentral:rRNA from 1 species
GUGGGGAAUAUUGCACAAUGGGGGAAACCCUGAUGCAGCGACGCCACGUGAGUGAAGAAGUAUUUCGGUACGUAAAGCUCUAUCAGCAAGGAAGAAAAUGACGGUACUUGACUAAGAAGCCCCGGCUAACUACGUACCAGCAGCCGCGGUAAUACGUAGGGGGCAAGCGUUAUCCGGAUUUACUGGGUGUAAAGGGAGCGUAGACGGUAUGGUAAGUCAGAUGUGAAAGCCCGGGGCUCAACCCCGGGACUGCAUUUGAAACUAUCAGACUAGAGUGCAGGAGAGGUAAGUGGAAUUCCUAGUGUAGCGGUGAAAUGCGUAGAUAUUAGGAGGAACACCAGUGGCGAAGGCGGCUUACUGGACUGUAACUGACGUUGAGGCUCGAAAGCGUGGGGAGCAAACAGGAUUAGAUACCCCAGUAGUCC